rnacentral:rRNA from 1 species
GAGUUUGAUCCUGGCUCAGAGCGAACGCUGGCGGCAGGCCUAAUACAUGCAAGUCGAGCGGCCCUUCGGGGCAGCGGCGGACGGGUGAGUAACGCGUGGGAAUGUGCCCUUUGGUACGGAACAACACAGGGAAACUUGUGCUAAUACCGUAUGUGCCCUUCGGGGGAAAGAUUUAUCGCCAUUGGAGCAGCCCGCGUUGGAUUAGGUAGUUGGUGGGGUAAAGGCCCACCAAGCCGACGAUCCAUAGCUGGUCUGAGAGGAUGAUCAGCCACACUGGGACUGAGACACGGCCCAGACUCCUACGGGAGGCAGCAGUAGGGAAUCUUGCGCAAUGGGCGAAAGCCUGACGCAGCCAUGCCGCGUGAAUGAUGAAGGUCUUAGGAUU